UCGGAAUUACUGGGCGUAAAGCGUGCGCAGGCGGCUUUGCAAGACAGAUGUGAAAUCCCCGGGCUUAACCUGGGAACUGCAUUUGUGACUGCAUGGCUGGAGUGCGGCAGAGGGGGAUGGAAUUCCGCGUGUAGCAGUGAAAUGCGUAGAUAUGCGGAGGAACACCGAUGGCGAAGGCAAUCCCCUGGGCCUGCACUGACGCUCAUGCACGAAAGCGUGGGGAGCAAACAGG
rnacentral:rRNA from 1 species